UCCACAAUAGGUAGAGGUCACCAGCAUAGGUCAGAGGGGAUAUUGUAUGUAACUGGUGACAUUUGAAAGAGACAUAUUGGACAGAAAUGACAUACGUGAAAGCUAAGAUACAAUAUAUUUAAUUUUCUAAGAAUUCAGUUCAAGGUAGUCUGCCUGGUUUCUCAAGUUCUGCAUGUUUCUUCAGUAGACUAAAUAAUGAUAAGGAAGCUGAGAUGUAGAGCUGAAGUGUCUUGCCCAAGAUCAUUUGUCUACCUAUGACCUGGCUCAACCCAGCUACAAGUUGUUAAUAAGAGGGAAGCAUAUCAGGAAAAUCUGAGUGCAAUGGUUUAGGAAUUGGGAAAGUAUAAAAGGUAUAGCACAACAGCACUAGACAACUGAGGUAGUCACCUACCUAAGGAGAGAUGCCAAGGACAAGUUGGCCAGCUAAACACUUUCUCCAGAAAUGGGAUUUAUAGUUUUGCUAAUUUCUUUAAUAUCAGAAGACAGCUGGAUUCUCAUUUCUGCUUCUGCAUUCAGUCUAUUGUGAUAUAGCAUAUCAUGUAACUUCUGAAAAACUUCACUGUACACAGAUGCUGACCUCACAGACUCCCUGAAAGGAUCUCCAUGACCUCUAUGGUUCCUUAGACUGCACUUUGAGAACUAUUGACGUACAGGGAAAAAUGCUCUUGGUGUUCCAGUUAAGCACAGAAUAAAAUCUGGACUGUGUCAGUUUGUAAAGAUCUUAUGUCUACUUGGUCAUCAGCCAAGAAGGGAUUCCGAAGAUAGAAGAGGAGGCAUCAACACCGUGAACAUCAUGGCUGAGUUAUUUUGUGAGAGGGAUAAGCCUAAAGUAAAAACCUUGGAUUUGCCUCUGUCCUUGAACAUGCUAUCUGGAAAGAGUUUUCUUAAAAGUAUUGUUGUGAACACAUCCAUUUUCCCAGUAUAGUUGAAUGCAGGGUUUAAUAAAUGGAAUGAAUCUAGUUUUAGUUCCUGUACUGCUUGUGCUUUCAAUAACCUCUAUAUUUGAAUAACACAUUUCAGUAGAUAUGUUUGUUAGCGUUGAACUUGUAAGUUGACGAAGAAAGGGUAGUACUACC
rnacentral:lncRNA from 1 species